CCAGGCUGGAGUGCAGUGGCGUGAUCUCAGCUUACUGCAACCUCCGUCUCCUGGGUUCAAGCAAUUCUCCUGCCUCAGCCUCGAGAGUAGCUGGGACUACAGGCAUGCACCACCAAGCCCAGCUAAUUUUUUUGUAUUUUAGUAAAGAUGGGGUUUCACCAUGUUGGCUAGGAUGGUCUCGAUCUCUCGACCUCAUGAUCUGCCUGCCUCGGCCUCCCAAAGUGCUGGUAUUACAGGCCUGAGACACCGUGCCCGGCCCCAAAGUGGUCAUCUUAAGAGACUAUUCUAAUUCCAGGAGUGCUGCUGUAAAUAUUACUGGCAUUAAUUCAGAAAUGCCUUUAAGGAGUUUCCUAGAUGUAUAUAAAAAUAAGUAAAUUAUUUUUAGUCACAGGUCUUUCUAUUUUUUAUCUCCUAUCUUUUUCACCUUCCUUUGCACUUUGUCCUAGAUCUGCUCCUUUCCCUUUUCCUUUGUCUCUUAUCCAAUAGCUCAUGUGCUGCCUGAGAGAGACUGUGUUAGUACUAGAUAGAGGUAGUUGAUUCUGGGCAGAAGGACUUUUUAGGGUGGAAGGUGAACAUAAGACCAGAAUCUAAUUUAUGGCUCAUAAUCAGGUGUAUGUUAAGUCACCAAUAAAGUGCAGACCUAACAGACUCUGAGAAUGUAUCUGUAAGACCUAGAAAAGGAUGUACUUUUCUCCUCCAUUGCCAUUACCUUUUGACUUGGCUGAUUCAUCAUAAACAAAAUCUUCUGUAGACCUCCUAGCCAGGCACACUUCUAGCAACUACAGAGAAUACAAAAAAGCACAUAAGCUGGUUUUAGAGGACCAGAGCAUUGAUUCCCCUUAACUUUGGUUGCAUACCAGCAUUAUCUAAUGAAACAUUAAAACACAAAACAAAUAUAUGCCCUAGCAUUAACCCUGGAGAAUUCUGAUUCAAUAGGUUUCAUGUGGUGUGGGACCCAGGAAUCUGUAUUUUAAAAGCUCCGCAAGUGAUUCAGAUGUACGCCUUGGCUAAUAAUCACUGGCUAAGGGCAAGGAAAGAAUCUUAGGACAUGAAAAGGAGCUCAAGUAGAAUCUAUUAGGAGGCUCGUUUCUGUAAUCUUUGCCAUUGUUAAAAGUGCCAUAAGCAAUAAUACCUAGAAAGUACAGAUGUUCCUUGAUUUAUGAUUGUAUUGUGUCCUAAUAAACCCAUAAACAUAUGAUAAGUUGAAAAUGAACGAAAUACCCUGAUAAAUCCAUCGUAAAGUCUAAAAAUUGUAAGUUGAACCAUUGUAAGUCAGGGACCAUUUGUAUCAAAUAUAGAACCAUGGAAUUAUAGAAUAGGAAAGUGUUAUGCCCUAAAAUUUUUAUUUCAUUGUAUCCUUUUUGAAUAAUUGGAUUUAGGAAACUUUUUUCCCUCUUACUGUACUGUAUACUUCUUUUAUUUUUCCCUUUCCUGUGGUGCUGAAUUGUACUAAAUACUUUAAAAUCUCCAUUUUAAUUUAUUUAUAUAGGAUCCUGCUGGCCACUUUCAUCAAGUAUGGUAUGAUAACCCUCAGAGUAUUUCUUUAAAGGCAACAUAUAUACAAAACUAUCGCUUACGGGGCAUUGGCAUGUGGAAUGCAAACUGUCUUGACUACUCUGGAGAUGCUGUAGCCAAACAGCAAACUGAAGAAAUGUGGGAAGUCUUAAAGCCAAAGCUGUUACAGAGAUGAACAUCUUUUGUCAAACCAUUAAGAGUUAGAAAGAUGAUCUGUAUCAACAGAUCUAGUUUCUUGCAUUUUUAUUAUGUUGCUAUAUACUUUUGUUAUCCGUAUACUAAAAAAAAAGAAUAAAUAAAUGUUUUGAUUGUUUGAAUUUGAAAAAUACACACGAAUGUCCUCAGUAUCCAGGAACAUAAAGGCAAGAAGCAAGUCAACUUACCUAUUAAAUAUUCCUCUAUUAGAUGUUUCAACACUAUAAUUUAAUUGGGAAAAAUUGCUUUCAGAAUUUUAUUAUGCCAUAUUUCCCUUCAUUAUAGUAAAAUAUAUGCUCACGAAUCAAUGCUGAUUUUUAAAAUAUGUAUAAUCUGAAGUGGAAAUUGUUUGCUUAGAGUUUUUAAAAACCUAGUCUUUGAAAAGCAGUUUGUGCUAUACUUUUCCCCCAACCCUCCAAUAAAUCUUAAAUUUAAAACCUACAAUGUAGUGUCUCCCCUUUAGGUUCAUCAAACUGAUGAAAAUAAUUUUUCUGCUUCCUGACUCCAUAUAGUAUUUAUGUUCUCUGAGGUACUUGAACUAAAUCUUUGGACAGUGAGUGAGAAUUAAAAAGAAUCCAGAAGAUUAAAUGUAUUCACAAAAUAGAAGAAUGUAACAGUAAUAUUUUGAAUUGGUUUCCCAGGCAGCUGCAGACUUGAAACAGUUCUGUCUGCAGAAUGCUCAACAUGACCCUCUGCUGACUGGAGUAUCUUCAAGUACAAAUCCCUUCAGACCCCAGAAAGUCUGUUCCUUUUUGUAGUAAAAUGAAUCUUUCAAAGGUUUCCCAAACCACUCCUUAUGAUCCAGUGAAUAUUCAAGAGAGCUACAUUUGAAGCCUGUACAAAAGCUUAUCCCUGUAACACAUGUGCCAUAAUAUACAAACUUCUACUUUCGUCAGUCCUUAACAUCUACCUCUCUGAAUUUUCAUGAAUUUCUAUUUCACAAGGGUAAUUGUUUUAUAUACACUGGCAGCAGCAU
ensembl:lncRNA novel transcript